UACGAAGGGGGCUAGCGUUGCUCGGAAUUACUGGGCGUAAAGGGCGCGUAGGCGGACAGCUUAGUCAGAGGUGAAAGCCCAGGGCUCAACCUUGGAAAUGCCUUUGAUACUGGCUGUCUUGAGUUCGGGAGAGGUGAGUGGAAUGCCGAGUGUAGAGGUGAAAUUCGUAGAUAUUCGGCGGAACACCAGUGGCGAAGGCGACUCACUGGCCCGAUACUGACGCUGAGGCGCGAAAGCGUGGGGAGCAAACAGG
rnacentral:rRNA from 2 species